UACGGGGGGAGCAAGCGUUGUUCGGAUUACUGGGCGUAAAGGGCGCGUAGGCGGCGUGACAAGUCACUUGUGAAAUCUCCGGGCUUAACCCGGAACGGUCAAGUGAUACUGUCGUGCUAGAGUACAGAAGGGGCAACUGGAAUUCCCGGUGUAGCGGUGAAAUGCGCAGAUAUCGGGAAGAACACCCAUGGCGAAGGCAGCUCUCUGGGACGGUACUGACGCUGAGACGCGAAAGCGUGGGGAGCGAACAGG
rnacentral:rRNA from 1 species